rnacentral:RNase_P_RNA from 1 species
GGCCCGGAUCGUCUUAUCGCCUCGCUUUAGGGCGGGGAGGAAAGUCCGGACAGCACAGAGCACCCUACUUCCUAACGGGAAGGCGGACGGCGGGUAACCACCGUUCGACAGCCAGUGUCACAGAAAAAAUACCGCCAAAUCAGUUAACAGUUAUCAAUGAUCAGUUAUCAAUUUUUUGCGCCGAGUCAACGGCUGAUAAUUGUUCACUGAUAACUGUUAACUGACCAGGUAAGGGUGAAAAGGGGGUGUAAGAGACCACCGCGCGCUGGGCGACCAGCGGGGCAGGAUAAACCUUAGGGGCUGAAAGAUCAAAUAUGUGUCGGAUGCGGGGCUGCUCGUCUCCACGCCGCCUUCGGGUAGCUGCCGGCACGGGUAGAUCGAUAGAGGGAGUCGGUGACGGCUCUCCCAGAUAAAUGAUAAGACGGUUCGACGCGCCCACGGGUACGGUCGGGCCGACAGAAUCCGGCUUAUAGAUUCGGGUCGAUG